AUUGAACGCUGGCGGCAGGCCUAACACAUGCAAGUCGAACGAGUGGCGUACGGGUGAGUAAUGUAUGGGAAACUUCCUGAUGGAGGGGGAUAACUACUGGAAACGGUAGCUAAUACCGCAUACCAUCAGAUGUGCCCAGAUUGGAUUAGCUAGUUGGUGGGGUAACGGGUCACCAAGGCGACGAUCCCUAGCUGGUCUGACAUGAUGACCAUCAACACUGGAACUGAGAAACGGUCCAGACUCCUACGGGAGGCAGAAGUGGGGAAGAUUGCACAAUGGGCGCAAGCCUGAUGCAGCCAUGCGGCGUGUAUGAAGAAGGCCUUCGGGUUGUAAAGUACUUUCAGCGGGGAGGCGUUACCCGCAGAAGAAGCACCGGCUAACUCCGUGCCAGCAGCCGCGGUAAUUC
rnacentral:rRNA from 1 species